rnacentral:lncRNA from 1 species
CUCCUCCUCCUUACCACUAUUCCUCACCACCACCUCCUGAGUAUUCACCUCCACCAACCCCUGUUUAUAAGUUACCCCCACCAUCUCCUCCAGUUUACAAGUCCUCACCGCCACCUUACCACUACUCACCACCUCCGGUGUAUUCACCUCCACCAUCACCAGUUUACAAGUCACCGCCACCACCCCCUCCAGUAUACAACUCCCCGCCUCCACCAGUGUACAAAUACAAGUCCCCACCGCCACCUCCUCCAGUUUACAAAUCUCCACCGCCACCAAUUUACAAGUACAAGUCACCCCCACCACCUCCUCCGGUAUACAAGUCUCCUCCGCCACCUGUUUACGAGUACAAGUCUCCUCCACCACCUCCUCCAGUGUACAAGUCUCCACCACCUCCAGUUUACAAGUACAACUCACCACCACCUCCUCCCCCAGUUUACCAAUCUCCACCACCACCAGUUUACAAAUACAACUCACCACCACCUCCUCCCCCAGUUUACCAGUCUCCACCUCCACCCUAUCAUCACUACUACGGUUCUCCUCCUCCUCACCACUACUAAGCAAGUGCAUCUAAGUUUUGAGGUAAUAAUACCUAUCCAAAACUUUAUCAACACAAACUGCCAUGUAUAUCAUGCUAAGGACGUACACUUGAUCCAUGAAAAUGACUUGUAGAAGAUUUUUUUUAAGAACCAAAGAAAUACAUUAUUUUUUCGGUCUGUUUUCAAGAAUUUGAGCAGUAUACAGAUUAAAGAGUGUUUUUUUUUUUAAACUUGCUUAUCAACUUAGAAAUGCACAUAGCUGAAAGCCAACUGAAUAUUUGCAGGCAAAGGAGAAGACAAUCGGUGUUUGCGACCUUCAAGAAGAUGUAGAAGAAUAAGAAUAAAAGCCCAAUGCGAGGAUGAUUCCAAGUUUCUACGUUACCAUUUCUACAUCUAAAUUGACUCUAGCUCCUGAGUUCCAUGUUUAUGGGGUUUGUACCGUUUUACGUACCAUGCAGUGCAUGCUUGUAAGGUUUUCUGUCCUGUUGGCAAACUGCAGGUCCAUAUAAUAAAAGAAUACUAUUUAUAUUACGACACUUUUCUCUCUUUCUCUUAUAUUUUGUCUUUAAUAUUGUUGAUCAUUUUUUUUUAUUUAUCAAAAGUAUCAAAUGUUUAGGUAAUUUGGUCUAAUGCUAAUUGUUUUACUUCUCUUUUUCACCUACACCCCUUUUCAACUCAAAGGAUGCUAUAGUUUGUGAUAAUUGUUUAAGACCGAAGCAUGAUACUAAUAAAUAUCUCAUUGAAAGUCAAGGAAACUAACAUUAUGAAAAGUGUAAAUCUUGAUUUGAUGAAACUAUUUAUUCGUGGAAUUUAGAGAUACAAAACUCAAAUUGUGACGGUGCUGUUGCUAAAUUAUUAAGGACAUUAUCACCACUAUUUUUCCCUUACUAGUUUCAACUGCAAUGAUCUCAAUCUUUUUGUGACUAAUUCUUUUCUUAAUAAUUUAUAAAUACAAAACUCACAAAGAAUAUGUGACUAAUUCUUUCCUUUCGUCUUCUAAAGAAAAUGGCAACUGUUAGUUUAUCAAGGGAAAAAGGAUCGACAUCAGUUGUUAUUGAAACUAGUAAGGAAAAAAUAAUGGUGAUAAUGUCCUUAAUAAUUUAACAACAGCACCAUCAGAAUUUGAGCUUUGUAUCUAUAAAUUCCACGAAUAAAUAGUUUCAUCAAAUCAAGAUUUACACUUUUCAUAAUGUUAAGUUUCCUUGACUUUCAAUGAGAUAUUUAUUAGUAUCAUGCUUCGGUCUUAAACAAUGAUCACAAACUAUAGCAUCCUUUGAGUUGAAAAGCGAAGUAGGUGAAAAAGAGAAGUAAAAAAUACAAUUAGCAUUCCCUCAAAUCGUAGAAAGUUAGGUAGCAUUAUAGACAAGUUGAUAGCCGUAAUGAUACUAAAAAUCAGGCAAAAGCCAGCAAUUUUACAUUUCAAAAUUCACCUAUCCAAUAACUAAUUCGAUGGCUUGCUACAUGGUCAAUCUUUGGACCCCUUCCUGCCACCACAUAUCCCUUUCCUCAAUCAGGGGCUUCUACAAUUACCAGUUCCAAUUGUAUGGUAUAGUGUAAAUAUCAACAAAUCAGAUGUAGACGCUAAUUUAAUAAAUGUGGAUGCUAAGACAACAACAUACAAAAACAUAAUAAAUUUUGGCAUUCCUUAAAAAAAUUAAGUCCCCAAAUCAAUCUCAUACACCCAAUUUCUAAUUUAAUUUAACCCAUUCCCUCUAUUAACUACACCAUACAAUACAAUCGAACCCAUUCCCUUCUAAUUUCUUCACAAAAUGCACCUUUCAUCACCGACAUGAUCUUUACCCUAGAAGACUAUUCACCGACUCUCCAUUGACGUCAGAAAAUCUAAGAGUAAUUCUACUUUACCCUAAGAUUGAUAUCAACGAGACAAUAAUGACAAUUUAGAAUUAUUACACGCCUCUUCUUAAUAGGAAAAAGAAAUACAGAAGAAAGUCAGGCCAGGUCUAAUUCUUUUUCAAAGGCAAUACAAUAUUACGAAAUCAAGCAGUCAUUCAUACAAAUAUUUCAUAGUCACCGGCCGGGGUUUGCUGAGUAGAAAAGUUUAUACAAAAACUUAAUAUUAUAUUGUUUAAGAGUUAACAAUUUAGAGCUUAAUCUCCUUGUACUUUGGACUAAACUCGAACGUGAAAGGAAAUCCCAAAACCAUAUUGGGCAUGAAUUCACACUUAAUAGACCCAAAAGAAGAUGGCGACUGGUGAAAGGCAGUGGAGACUGGUGGAGAGAUUUGAGGAAUAGAAGCAGACGGAAAAGCAACAAAUUUUUGCCGAAAAACGGUCACUUUCAUGGUUAAUUUUGCUACUCUCUAAUUGUACUUGACCAAAUACAACAAUUUCAUGGAGUUUGAUACACAAGCCCAAAUACACGAGAGUGUGUAACCUGAAUUGUUACUUAUACAUUAGUGUGUAAUAGAACGGCAAGCAUUAUGGUGGUCAUUGAGCAACUUAUAGAAGAAAUAGUCCUAUAAGCUGUUCGAUGACCAAUCGCAACUUGCUAAUUGGAUGACUAAUAUAGCUCUAGCUGUAAUGUUUUAAUUAAAUUCCAUCACUAACGUUGGGAUGACUUUUUAACCAAAAAAAAAAAAAAAGCCUUAGUUCAAGCUUUUCCCCUUAUUGUGCAUUUUUUAAAACAUUUGAUAGGCACUGCAAAUCUGUCAUUUUGGACAUCAACCCAUAUCCAACACAAGAUUAAAUUAAUAUUAGAAAAAAUUAUUACGUAAUUGGAAAAAAAAAAAGAAGAGACUAAUUUUCAUUGAAACCCACCGACAAACUAAGCGUGUCCAUAGCUUUUGAUUAGUUCAUUGCCGAUCACAUGGAGUAAAGAUUGUGCUCUUUCCCUUUCCCCCCCUUUUGGAAUCGAUACUGUGGAGAAUUGGCUUUUUCCCUCCUUUUUUUCUUUUCUUUUCUUUUCUUUCCUUCUGUACUUUGCAAAACAUAGGUAAAAAUAUGAAAUCCGAAGCAUUCUUUAAUUGGGAUUAAGUAUUGUUCUUGAAAUUAAAAAAAAAAAGAAAGAAAGAACAACAAAAAUCCCAAUCUGGGUUGAUUGUUGAGCUCUAGAUUGGCUGCAUCGUGCUUCCAUAGAAGUUCUCUUAGUGUGAUACGCUGCUUUCAAUCAGUUUUAACACGGGAAAAAGAAAAGACAUGAAAAGCAAAUUUUGUGGGGAUAAUUUCGGUAACCUCCCCUGAAGUUUUUGACUAUUUUACUGGCCUCCCUUCAGAUUUUAAAAAUUGCACUAAUCUUCCUUAAAGUUAAUUAUCUUGUAACAUUUAGAUCCAAUCAAUAAUUUAAAAAAUGAUAUUAUGAGAGAGAAAAUAAUAUGAUUUUAUCAUUGCCCCCAUCUUACUACAUUAUUUAAUUAAUUUAAUAGCAACCCACACAUUAAAGAAAAAUGCAAAAAUUUGUUGUUUAUCAUUAAAGAUCAUCAUAUCGCAUAUAACAUCAAAAAAUAGUAUAUUAUUUAUAUUUUUCACUUAAUAUAAUAUCCAAAUUACUCUUUUCAGUUACAUACCCAUUGUUAGACAAAAUCAACAACAAAUAACCAAAAAAUUUGCAACCAAAAUAUUACAAAAAAAUAAACUUUAACAUCAUAAAUAUUUUUAUCAACAUAUUAAAGUUAGUUAUUGAAAUUUUUAUGGUGUUAAACUUCACUCUUUGUAAUAUUUUGGUUACAGAUUUUUUUGAUUAUUUGUUGUUGAUCGUGUUUGACAAUGGAUUUGUAACUGAAAAGAACAAUUUGGAUCUUACAUUAAGUGAAAUAUAUAAAAAUAUUAUACUAUUUUUUAUGGCAUAUGUGAUUCUUUUUUUUUUUUUUUUUUUAUCAGAACGGCAACAUUGUAUUAAUAGUAAACCAAUUACAGUAUAGGUGGGCAACCGCCCUCACAAUCUGCCUGGACUUGUUCCAGCAGCCAAACUGGGAAGUUUUCCUUCCAUUCAGUAUUUUGUUCCAAAGUAAUAGCUACUUUAGCUAGUUUAUGGCUAACAAAGUUGUUCACCCUAUUUGCAAAGGUAAAACAACAUUCAUCAAAUUUUAUUCAUGUACAAUUGUUGCUAUCACCACGUCCUCCUCCUCCUCCUCACUGCACACUACUUGACUACCACCCUUCGCCAACCUUGCUGUUGCAUGUGCAACUAUCAUGGCCUCUCUUAGCGCCUUUGCUUCUUCGACCUUUGGACUGGCACAGCUAAAAUUUGGAACAGCCCAGGCCCACCCGCAAUCUUCCCAACCAAUCCCUGGCCACCCUUUUCCCACCCAGCUUCUAUGGCAUGUGUGAUUCAAUCCUUCUUGAUAGGAUUGGUAAUAGAGGCAGAGGGGGGAGCCGGCUGCAUCCGGUCUACUUUUCAUAGAUAGUACAAUAUUGCGAAAUCGAUCGCAUUCACACAAGAAUAUUUCGAAGUCAUUGCAUCGCUAAGUUGCAAAAAAGUACAAACACUUGUUAUUAUAUAGCUUAAGAUUCAAAACUUUAGAGCACAACCCUCCACCUAACACAAUUGAAUAAUGAAUAUUCACGAUUGUCAAAUCUGUCAAAGCACAGUUUGAGGACAACCCAUUCCAACCUGCAAAAGAUUUUUGACUUUUUUAAAGUUGUUGAGAGCUGUAAAAAGACUUACCAUGCUUACAUCUUCCGAGCCUUGGGAGUUAAAAAUGAAGGCACUGAGUGCUAUAAAAAGGGGGCUAGAGGCUGCCUAGAAGCAUAUCAGCCUAAAACAAGAAUUUGUAGUUAUGAUGGGAAGCAAAGCAAAAGCAAUGGGGUCUGGGCUGACUCCUCUUCUUACCACUGUUUUAGUGGUAUUUGUUGCUCUUGGCUUGCCCUCAGAAACUGCAGCUGAUGAUCACUACAAGUAUUCAUCUCCUCCUCCUCCUUACCACUAUCCCUCACCACCACCUCCAGUGCAUUUACCUCCACCAGUGUACAAAUACAAGUCCCCACCACCACCUCAUCAUGUUUACAAGUACAAAUCUCCACCACCCCCACCACCACACCCAGUUUACAAGUAUAAGUCGCCACCACCACCUCCUCAUCCGGUAUACAAGUACAAGUCUCCUCCGCCACCUCCUCAUCCGGUACCACACCCAGUUUACAAGUAUAAGUCACCACCACCACCUCCUCAUCCGGUACCACACCCAGUUUACAAGUAUAAGUCUCCUCCGCCACCAGUUUACAAAUAUAAGUCUCCUCCACCACCACCUCCAGUGUACAAAUACAAGUCUCCACCACCACCAGUUUACCACUACAAGUCUCCACCACCUCCUCCCCCAGUUUACAAAUACAAGUCUCCACCACCACCAGUUUACCACUACAAGUCUCCACCACCUCCUCCCCCAGUUUACAAAUACAAGUCUCCACCACCACCACCACCAGUUUACCACUACAAGUCACCACCACCUCCUCCCCCAGUUUACAAAUACAAGUCUCCACCACCUCCUCACCACUACUAAGCAAUUGCUUCUGAGGUAAUAACACUUGUUCAAUAUACACACUUCUGCAUGAUAAAACAUAUCUCUAUCAACACAAACUGUCAUGUCUAUCAUGCUAAGUGCCUUCACUUCAUCCACGAAAAUGACUGCUAGAAAAUUUUUUUUUAAGUUACCAAAGAAAAGCAUCAUUUUUUCCCUCUGUUAUCAAGAACUUGUACAGUAUGUAGAUUAAAGAGUUUUUAUUUUAACUAGCUUAUCAACUUAGAAAUGCAUAUAACUGAUAGCCAGCUGAAUAUUUGCAGGCAAAGGAGAAGGAAACCAGUGUUUGGACCUUCUUGAAGAUGUAGAAGCAUAAGAAUAAAAGCCCAAUGUGAAGAUGAUGAUUUCAAGUUUUUCUACGUUACCAUUUCUAUAUCUAAAUUCGUUGUAGCGCCUUAGUUCCUUUGUUUAUGGGAUUUGUAUCGUUUUACGUACCAUGCAGUACAUGUCAUGUUUGUAAGGUUUUCUAUCCUGCCGGCAAAUCGCAGGUUCCAUGUAAUAAAUCAAUACUAUUUAUAUUACGACACUUUUCUCUGUUUCUCUUAUAUUUGUUUGGAUUGAGCUUUAUUUCCCCAAAUUUAUUUGCUUACAUCAUCAUUACAAUUUCUAAUACACCUUUUUACCUUCCCGAUUACCUUUUUAUCUCACAUACAUCACAUCACAAAAAGUGCUACAGUAAAAAUAUCUCUAAUAAUUCACAAUCCAAACAGACUUUUGUCUUUAAUAUUCUUAAUCAUAUUUUUAACAAAAAUAUUCAAAUACUUAGGUAAUCUGGUCUAAUGCUAAUUGUAUGUUUUACUUUUCUUUUUCACCUGCUCCCCUUUUCAACUCAAACGGAUGCAAUAGUUUGUGAUCCCUGUUUAAGACGGAAGCAUGAUACUAAUGAAUAUAUCAUUGAAACUCAAGGAAACUAACAUUAUGAAAAGUGUAAAUCUUGAUUUGAUGCAACUAUUUAUUCGUGGAAUAUAUAGUUACAAAACUCAAAUUCUGACUGCGCCAUUGAUAAAUUAUUAAUGACGCUAUCAUCAUUAUUUAUCCCUAACUAGUUUCGACUACAACUGAACCCAAUAUUUUCCCCAUGAUAAAAGUUUUUGACUAUUUUACUGGCCUCUCUUCAAAUUUUAAAAAUUACACUAAUCUUCAUUGAGAUUAAUUAUCUUGUAACAUUUAGUUCCGAUCAAGAAUUUAAAAAUGAUAUUAUGAGAGAAAAAAUAAUAUAAUUUUAUCAUUGCCCCCCAUCUUGCUAUAUUAUUUAAUAAAUUUAAUAGCAACCCACACAUUAAAGAAAAAUACUAAAAUUUGCUACUUUUCAUUAAAGAUCAAAUUGCAUAUGCCAUAAAACAUAGUAUAUCAUUCUAUGUGUUUCACCUAAUGUAAGAUCCCAAUUGUUAUUUUCAAUUACAAACCCAUUGUCAAACAUGAUCAACAACAAAUAACCAAAAAAUUUGCAACCAAAAUAUUACAAAAAAAAAUAAACUUUAACAUCAUAAAUAUUCUUACCACCUCCAGUGCAUUCACCCUCACCAACCACUAGUUUACAAGUCACCCCCACCACCUUACCACUAUUCCUCACCGCCACCCACAGUGCAUUCACCUCCACCACCACCUGUUUAUAAGUCACCUCCACCACCUUAUCAUUAUUCGUCACCACCAUCUGCAUUGCUUUCACCUCCAUCAUCACCAGUUUACAAAUCACCACCACCAUCUUCCCCAGUGUACAAGUCCCCUCCACCACCAAUUUACAAGUCUCCGCCGCUAUGUCCCCCAGUAUAUAAGUCAUCCCCACCACCGCCUCCAAUGUACAAGUCUCCGCCGACACCAAUCUACAAGUACAAUUCACCACCACCCAUGCCUCCAGUUUACAACUCCUUGCCACCACCUAUUUACAAACACAAGUCUCCCCCACCACUUCCUCCGGUAUACAAGUCAUCUCCACUGCAUCCUCCAAUUUAUGAGUCUCCUCGUCCACCAGUUUACGAGCACAAGUCUCCUCCACCGCCUCCUCCAGUAUAUAAGUCACCACCACUAUCUCCUCCAGUACAUGUCUCCACCACCGCCUAUUUACAAAUCUCCGCCUCCUCCAGUUUACAAUUCCCCACCACCACCAAUAUACAAGUCUCCACCUUCAUCCAACCAUUACUACUAUAAUACUCCUCCUCCUCCUUCGCACUACUGAGGAAUUGCAUCCAAGUUUUGAGGUAAUAACGCGUAACCAGUAUAAACUUUUGUAUGAUAAACCUUAUCCCGAUCAACACAAACUGCCAUGUGUAUCAUGCUAAGUACGUACGCUUAGAUCCAUGAAAAUGACUAGUAGAAGGUUAUCCUAAGAACCAAGGAACAUUAGUUUUCCCUCUGUUUCCAAAAACUUGUGUUUGUUUAACAUGCUUAUCAACUUGGAAAUGCGCAUUGCUAAUAGCCAACUGAAAUUUUUGCAGGCAAAUUGGGAAGAGAAUCAGUGUUUGAGCGGUUCAUGGAAGAAUAAGAAUAAAAGCCCAAUGCGAGGAUGUUCUCAAGUUUAUUAAUGUUUCCGUUCUAUUUUGUAAAUUGAUUUUUGCGACUUAAUUAAUUCCCUGUUUGUGGGGUUCGUGUUGUUUUACCUACAUGCCAUACAUGUUUGUAAUGAUUUUUAUUGCAAAAUGCCGGUCCAAUAAAAUAACUGUAUUCAUUUUGUGUCUUUUGAGUAAACUUCUAUUGGUUCUACUACUUAUUUUACGAUAUUUUUUUUCUCUCUUUCUCUUACAUUUUCCGUUUAAUAUUAUUGAUAAUUUUUUUAACAAAAAAGGUUGAUAUACUUAGGUAGUUCACUAGUUUGGUCUAAUCCUAACUUCAGGCUUGUCUUGUCUUUUAUCUCUACAUACCUUUUCAACUCAAAGGAUGCUACUAUAAUUUGUGAUCAUUGUAGUGGUGAUAUUCCGAGCUAUUACAUAUAAUUUAAGGCAGAGAUUUGAUCCUAGCGAGUAUCUCACUGACAGAUUAGGAAACAUCAUGAAAAGCGUAUAUCUUGAAUUAGUGCAACUAUUUCUUAGGGGAAUUUAUAGUUACAAAAUUCCAAAUUUUGAGAUUCUAUUACUGAUUAAUUAAGGACGUUAUCACUAUUUUUUUUUAAUUAUCACCAUUAAAUACCCCACAUACUAUAAGUUUUUUUAGGGCACAGGAAAAGAGGUGGGCCGAUGUUUAGUUAUCUACAAAAGUUCAAAUUUUGUAGAUAAAUUAUCAUGCGCCCUUAAAGAGUGCAGAAUACCAAAAAAAAAAAAAAAAAAAAAUCAUAUACUAUAACUAAUCCUAAUAUUUUUCCCUACGAUAAACUAACUCUUAUCCAUUUCUUUAGAUGAUGAAAGGAAAUAGUUAGUCACAUAUCCUCUAGUGAUUACAACAGCAUCAAAACAAAUUAGCACUCUUUUCCCGUAGUUUAAAAAUCCCUCAGCCACUAAGAUUUUGCAUAUCGAACGAAUUAAGGAACAUAGGCGCUUCGUGCUGGACAACAGUGUCCUUGUUGACGAUGCAUCCGCAUAUACUUCCUUAAGCAUUUUGAUUAUUUUAUGAUUCGAAUUUUUCUUGUCUGACAGCUGGACUUAAUUGAAAAACUCAAGUAAUAAUAUUCCAAAGCUGAUUCGUCAAAGUUUACCCAAUUGGUGAAACUUUCUUAAUAGAGCUGACUUUGUAUUACGUGACAAUGAUAUGGAUGCUCAAAGUUUUCAAUGGGAAAUUUAUAUGAGCUUUUCACGACAAAAUGUGUUCCGAUAAAGGUUCAUUCCAGAGGUUAAAAUUUUGUUUGUUAAAAAUUUACUUCUCAAGUCUUUGAUGCGAAAGUCUUGGUAUUUCCAAAAAGUCUUGAAAUCGCAGCAUAUAAGCCACUUUCUGUUCUCUUUUUUUCAUUGAAGUCUUUCCAAAUGUCAGUUCCAAAAGGAGUUUUUUAUGAAUUAUGAUAGAUAAUUAAUCUGACGGUCCAUAUAUAUGUGAUUUGCAAGAGGGUGUUUGGCGAAAUGGUUAGGCUUUCUAAGUAAUGAUAGGAAUGCCAUUUGCAAAGAAGGACAGGGGGCCUGUGCUGUCAUAUUUUAUGCGAUUUGAUCCGUUGUUGUAUAAGUUUAAAUUUUUGACGUGCAAUUGUGCUACAAUAUUAUACUAAAUAUAUGUGUGAAAUAUUUUGUCUAUAUACAUCACUUUUAUCGUGAAUACAACAGCUGAGUAUAAUAAUAUAAUAUAAUGUAAUUAUACACCAAAUAAUGUAACAAAUAUAACAAUCGAUCUGAAUUACACGAAAUCAUAACAACAAGAUCACCGCCUCCCAAAUUUUACAAAAUAAGGUUUUUUUUUUCUUUUAGAUUAUUGAAAAUUUUCAAAAAUAUUCUACAUAAUUUAAAUUUUUGUCCUACAAAAAUUAAAAGAGAUUUUAUAUUGCACGCUUAAGCUUAGAUAUAUUAAAGUUUGCCCCCAAGAUUAAUUUUCCGUUUUUAUCUAUGGUUUCUCAUCUAUGAGCCGAUCCAUAUAGCUAGUUAGACUGUACUCCUCACAUUUGUGGGAUUUGACACCCAAGAUUCUCCUUCUUGGAAUGUAAAAUGUAGAUCUUCUAUGUUAAUAAUUCAGGACCCAACUGUCAUAAACGAAAUGACUGAUCAACUCCUGUAAAUCUAAUUUAACAACAUUUAAAUGGAGAACUUUAGCUAAAAGAAUUAUGGUUAUUUUCCAACAUAUGCAAUCAUUGAUCAGAAUAUAUAUAUAUAUAUGUAAAAGACAUCUUCAGUCAUUUCAUAGCUUACCAGGCAAAUUAACCCCUAAGUGAACCUCUUCGAACAGAACUGACAAUAUGGAUGAAGAUCUGGAUAUUCUUUUAUCCUGACUCCUAAGGGAAAACUGGUUGAUCUAGAAUCAAAAUUUUACCCUAGUUACCCAGGCAACUUUUUUGUUGCCUUUUUUUUUUUUGGUAUAAAGCUCCAAUUUUGCUCCCUCUGUUAAGCUUAUAAUGCAUAUAAUUAUUAAGAUAAUAAAAGUGCCUUGAAUAGUAUUAAUAUAUGCAUUGACUUGAGCUGUCAUCAGUUCGGCCACUUCGAUUCCAUGAGGCCUUUUCAAUUCACACUAGCUAGAAAAUGGGGAGUCGUGAAAACCUUUUGUUCUAUUCAUUGCUAAGAUGCUUUUCUCUAUAAAGAGACUUCCUAACGAAAAUACUUUGUAGAUUUCUUUACUCCAAGUGGUGCAUGAAAAAUUAAUAUUUUCAAUUAACAAAUAAAAUUCCCUUUUUUUGGUGUAGAUUUCAUCCAUCCAGCUGUUAACACAUUCUAUAAAUCCGAAUUGACUAAUCUUUUCAUUUCCAUUUUCCAACUUGCGAAUACGGCAUCUUAUAUAAUGUCUGCUAAACACUAUAUAUUCUCUGCCAAAUAUGAAUACAUAUCACUUUUCUGAGCAAGUGCAGAGUCAUUAUCAUUUUUAUUCCCACAUAACAAAUUAGUGGUUGAGCAUCUUUACAUGCUAUCAGGUCACAAGUUAAUAAUCUUUUAAAGAACAUGUUAAAUUAAUUUAUUGGUAUGAAUAGUCAAAGAAGUAUGUUAAAGUUAGCAAUCUUUAAAAUAAUAUGUUAAAAUCAUUAGUACAAAUUAGUCAGAGAAGUAGCAUAAACACCACGAUGCAAUUAAUACUUUCAAUCUCAAGGUCUCUCUUACGGAAAUUUGCAUCGGUCAACAUACACAAAGCAUAAUUGUAUGCACGUCUCUCUAUCAUGGAAUUUGCAUAGGUCAAUAUACACUUGGCAUAGUUGAUAGUUGUAUGCGCGUAGGCAUGGCCAUGGUUCCAUUUGGAACUGGGAAUCAGACCGAAACCGGAUCGUUUGGAACCAGAUCAGAACCGGAAUCAAAACCAUGAAACCAGAACCGUGAUAGAACCUUGGAUAAAGGUUCCGGUUCUGGUUCUCUAAAAAAUAGAACCAGAACCAGAACCGUUAAAAAUAAUUAAUAUAAGUGGUGAGAUAAUUCAAAAAAAAUUAGUUGUGUUUAAUAGGUUUUAAGAAAGUUUAAAUUUUAUGGACUUUCUAUAUAUUUUAUUAAUUAUUUAAUUCUUUCUAUUCAUCUAAUAUUUAUCAUUAUAAUUUGCAAGUAUUAAAUUAUUACUUAAAAUUUUUUUUUUUUUUUGCUUAUUUGCUAUCAAAUGACAAGUUUUGAUGGUAGUAGCUCAUCUUCAAAAUCAAGCAAGCAAAAAAAUAUUUUUUGCAAUAUUUCUUCAAAUGGAAUCUUCAACAUUGAUGAUUGUCCAACUCAAGAAAGUCAACAUAUGACAACCAUUUGAUAGUGUAAUGUAUUUUUUAAUUUGACAAUGUAAUGUACUUUUCAUAAAAUUUAUAUUAUCUAUUUAUUACUUCUUACUUUGUAGAAUAAUAAUAAAAUUAAAAUAUGAUCUUUAUUUUGUAUUUAUUUUUUUACGUUUUAUUUGAAAUUUUAAAUAUAUUGUUAUAUUCGUAUUAAAAUUGGUAAGGAUAAGGAAUUAAAUAAAAUUGUAUAUAACCAUACAGAACCGGAAACCGGAACCAGAACUAUAAGGAACCAAAAUCAGAACUAUGCGGUUCUGGUUCUACCUCUUUGAAGAACCAGAACCAGAACCAUUUUAUAUGGUGCGGUUCUGGUUCUACCUUUUUUAAGAACCAGAACCGGCGGUUCUAGAACCGUGGUCAUGCCUAUAUGCACGUCUUUUAUUUUAUUUUAUUUUAUUUUUUGGUACUGUUCUUCCUUGCUUUAUAGUAUGCACGUUUAUUUCUUUGGAUUGCUUAAGAUUAUAUUGUUAAUAAUAGGGCAUUUAACCAUAAAUUAUAAUAAUUAUGAAGUAAUAUAUAUUAGAAAAUUAACACAAUUAUGAUUUUUUUUUUUUGUAAAUUCAAAUUUUAUUAAUAAGAAAUGAAAUAGACCGUAAGCAAAAACAAAAUCCUACAACAACUCUAGGACUCUACACCUUAUAUAAAAAAAAACUAGGACUCUAUACCUCAGAGAAGCUAAACAAUCCAACAAAUAAAAUGCAAAAUAAAUCACAAUAACGCAAAUUAUGUUAAGCUAAUAAAUACUACCAUGCAACAAAAUUUUUGUCUUUGUCCCGCGUGAAACUACGAAGUCAAGAAUUGACUCCUUUAACCAGUAUUGCCAGCGGGGCUCCGUCAGCAAGAUACAACUUUGCAAUUUUAUACAAUAGAAAUCCUCAAAUAGCUAUUUUGACAGGCAAAUUAAGCAUUAAUUUUGGUAUCCCUUCAUAAAAUACAAGAGUACUUUUGAUUAUAUCUAUAGAUCAACUUUCUAGGCUUGAUGUAUUAUAAGAAAAAUCUGCCUAAACAUUUUGAUAGCAUUUUUCCAAAAGCAGAAGAUGGAAAAUUGCCCAUUUGUAAUGGGGAGUUCGUGAUCUUUUCCUCAUUCUAGUCUACUUACAAUUCUUGGAAAAAGGAAUACUCACAUCUCAAACAACAGCCAGCUCAUCUGCGCUGUCCUGCAGAAUUCUAGAAAGUUAGGUGGCAAUGUUAAUAACAUUUCAAAAUUGACUGCUGCGAUAACUAAUUCGAUGGCUUACUACAUGGUCAACGUUUGGAUCCCUUCCUGCCGGCACUGUCCUUUUUGGAUGCACAUUUUUUUUCUCUAGGUAAUAUAAUCACCCAACUCAUUUCUUUACAAAUGCACCUUUAAUCACCACCAAAAGGUGUGGACAUGAUCUUUACCCUAGAAAACUAUUCACCGACAGGCAAAUUGACGUCAGAAAUACUAAGAGGAAUUCUAGUUUCCUUCGGGUUAAUGCCAUUUUGUACCCUUCAACUGUAACUCGAUUUCUAAGCUGUAAUUUGUGACAUUAUAGUCCUUAAACUAUGAAACCCUUCUUACUUAAGUAUAAUGGUUAAUACAAUACUGGUGAUUAGACAAGUAUGAAGCAACCAUAACAAAAAAAAAUCCAAAAUUAGAGAAAAGAAAGAUGUUUCGCGACCAAAGUAUGUAUCAAGGCAUAGUAUAGAAAUAAAAGUGUCAAAAUUAAGAGUUUAGGGAUAAAAAAGAAUCAAGAUAUAGUUUAGGGAUUGAUUUGUCUCAAUUAGAGCUUAGGUGUCAACUAAGAAGAGAGAUAUAGUUGAAGGGUAGAAUAUAGAUAUAAAGGUUCAAUGAUUGAUAUCAGUGAGACAAUGAUAACUUUGGAUUAUUACCAACCUCUUCUGGAUGGGAAAAGGAAAUAGAGAAGAAAGUCGGGCCUGGUCUAAGCCUGUUUCGGAGGCAAAACAACAUUAUGAAAUCACCGGCAUUCAGACAAAUAUGUCAAAGUCACCGGCAUGCUAAGUUGCAAAAUUUAUACAAACACUUAAUAUUAUAUUGUUCUUAAAAUUUUUGUUUAAGAUUUAACAAUUAGAGCACGGUACACGAAUUAGAAAUAUUAAAUAAUGAAUGUUCACGAUUGAUAAAGUUAUCAAAGUACAGUUUGAGGACAACCCAUUCCAACGUGUACAAGAUGUUUAGCCUUUGAAAAGUUAAUUAGAGAAGGUGACGAGAUUUUACGAGGCUGACAUCAUCUAGGCCUCGAGAGUAAAAAAUGAAGACACUGAGCGCUAUAAAAAGAGGGCUAGAUGUUGCCUAGAAGCAUAUCAGCCUCAGACCACGUUUUGUAGCAAUGGGGAGCAAAGCAAAAGCAAUGGGGUCUAGGCUGACUCCUCUUCUUACCACCGUUUUAGUGGUAUUUCUUGCUCUUGGCUUGCCUUCAGAAACUGCAGCUGAUUACUACAAGUAUUCAUCUCCUCCUCCUCCUUACCAUUAUUCCUCACCACCACCUCCUAUGCAUUCACCCCCACCACCGCCAGUUUAUAAGUCACCCCCACCACCUUACCACUACUCCUCACCGCCACCUCCAGUGUAUUCAUUUCCACCACCUUUGCCAAUAUACAAGUCUCCGCCACCACCUUACCAUUAUUCCUCACCACCACCCCCAGUGCAUUCACCCCCACCACCACCAGUUUACAAGUCUCCCCCACCACCUUACCAGUAUUCCUCACCACCACCUCCGGUGCAUUCACCACCACCUCCUCCAGUUUACAAGUCCCCGCCACCACCUUACCAUUAUUCCUCACCACCACUUCCAGUGCAUUCACCUCCACCAUCACCGAUUUACAAGUCUCCACCACCACCUUACCAAUAUUCCUCACCACCACCUCCACUGCAUUCACCUCCACCACCACCGAUUUACAAGUCACCUCUACCGCCUCUUCCAGUUUACAAGUCUCCGCCACCACCUUACCACUAUUCCUCACCACCACCUCCGGUGCAUUCACCUCCACCACCACCGGUUUACAAGUCACCUCCACCACCUCCUCCAGUUUACAAGUCCCCGCCACCACCUUACCAUUAUUCCUCACCACCACCUCCGGUGCAUUCACCUCCACCACCACCGGUUUACAAGUCACCUCCACCACCACCUCCAGUUUACAAGUCCCCGCCACCACCUUACCAUUAUUCCUCACCACCAACUCCAGUGCAUUCACCCCCAUCACCACCAGUUUACAAGUCUCCGCCACCACCUUACCAUUAUUCCUCACCACCAUCUCCGGUAAAUUCACCUCCACCACCACCGGUUUACAAGUCACCUCCACCACCUCUUCCAAUUUACAAGUCCCCGCCACCACCUUACCACUAUUCCUCACCACCACCUCCAGUGCAUUCACCCCUACCACCACCUGAUAGGGUAUAAUUUGUUAGUAUUUUUAUUAUUAAUUUUCCCUUCUAUCCCUGACAAAUAUUGUGUUAAUUGCUGAUAUUUACUCAUAUUUGGUAUUUGGAAUCAAUUUCAGGAAUGAAGCAGAAAACUACCAAAAAGGAGGGACUUUGUGAAAAAUAUGGAGACUUCUAAGGGCUUCAAUCCUUGGGCCCUUGAAUUGGUGGGGGACCACAAGCUAGUGAAAGGCAUUUGGUCAUUUGGGCUUCAAAGAAAGCAACGUAGAGAGACUUGGAACAAGAAGUACUUGGGAGGCUUUGUCCACAUGUGUGGGGACCACCUAGAUAGCUUUUAGUCAUCUUUCUUUUGUUGCUUUAAAAGGGGACAACGUACAGAAGCAAAAGAUAUCUAGGGCUUUAGUUUUAGUUUUUAGUUUAGUUCUAGUUUUCUUUCUUUGGACUGGCCUCUGACACACGCCAGGUAUUCGACAAUAUUCCCCAACGGGGAGAUUUUCUCAUGAGGCGUGGUUAAGCUUUUCAAGGGGACACUGACGAUUUGGUUCAAUUUACUGUGAGAUCGAAUCUGUUUUAUUUUUUUCUUCAUUUUGGUUUUUAUAUGUUCCUUGAUUUUAAUUGCUAUGGCCUUGUGUAUGAUUGAUUAGUGCACAAUAAUUAAUUAUUCAUAUAGGCUAUUUUUGCUAAAUAGGGGUAAUUGAAUCCGUAAUUGUUCGUUAUCUCUACCUCAGUAGCAACUGGCGUAAUUGGGUUUAUGUCAGGGGAGCAUAUGAUCUAAUUUAAACAAACCCUCGUAGCGUAUUUGUUGGUUAGGAUUGGGCCUUUCUAAUUAUUAUGCAAUCUAGAAAUUAAAUCCUACGGUCGUACCUAGGGUUAUUUUUGGGUUAGAGAAAUAGCUAACGGUCGUACCUUAGCUAUCGAGAAAUUAAGGAAGGGUUGGUUGUUUAUCGCGUGCAUGACAACUAUAACUAAUCUAUUGCUAAAUGUUGGAAUUAUUUCUGCAUCAAUGAUCAGUGCCUGAACCAUUUCUGAAGUGUACCCUUGGCUAGAGUUUCUCUUAAUUAUUUCUUUUAAUCAAUUAUUUUCUGCACUUGAUUUAUUUAGUUAGCAUUUAAUCCAAGAACCUCCCAUACUCUGGACUCUAGAAGAAACGAAUUAUCCCCAAUCCCUGUGGAUUCGACCCUGCUCGCCGCUAUAUACAAAAUCUGUAUUUUUCUUGAGUAGGUAAUUAUUAUUGCACAGGUUCGGCACCUGUCACCACCAGUUUACAAGUCUCCGCCACCACCUUACCAUUAUUCCCCACUACCACCUCAAACGCAUUCACUCCCACCACCAGUUUACAAGUCACCGCCACCACGUUCUCCAGUAUACAAAUCACCUCCACCACCUCCUCUAGUUUACAAAUCUCCACCACCAUCAAUUGAUAAAUACAAGUCUCCUCCAGUGUACAAGUCAUCUCCACCACCUGCUUACAAGUCUCCACCUCCUUCAGUUUACAGUUCCCCACCACCACCAAUCUACAAGUCUCCACCUCCACCCUACCAUUACUACUACAAUUCUCCUUCUCCUCCUCCUCCUUCUCACUACUAAGCAGUUGUAUCCAAGUUUUUGAGGUAAUAACGCUUAACCAAUAAAUUAACUUUCGCAUGAUAAACCUUAUCCCUAUCAAGACAAACUGCCAUGUGUAUCAUGGCAAAUCCGUACACUUAGAUCCAUGAAAAUGAGUGGUAGAAGGUUUUCUUAAGAACCAAGGAACAGCAAUAGUAUUCCCACUGCUUCCAAAAACUUGUGUAUUAAAUAGAUUAACGAAUUGUUUAACAUGCUUAUCUACUUGAAAAUGCACAAUACCCAUAACCCAUUGAAAUUUUUGCAGGAAAAGGGGAAGAGAAUCUGUGUUUGAGAGCUUCAUGAAGAUGUUGAAGAAUAAGAAUAAAAGCCCAAUGCGAGGAUGUUUUCAAGUUUUUCUAUGUUUCCACUUUAAUUUGUAAAUUGAAUUUUGCGACUCAAUUAAUUCCCUGUUUGUGGGGUACAUAUUGUUUUACGUACCAUGCCGUACAUGUUUGUAAGGAUUUCUAUCCUAUUGGCAAAAGUCGGUUCCAUACAAUUAAUCAAUUCAUUUCACUUCUAUUGGCUCUACUAUUUAUGCAUGUUACGACAUUUUUUCUCUCUUUCCCUUAUAUUUUGCCUUUAAUAUUAUUGAGUCAAUAGUAAAAUUAUACUAUUAUAAAUAGGUAGUUUGGUCUAACGCUAAAUUCAUGUUUGUCUUUCUUUUAUUCCCUUUACAUCUCAAAGUAUACCAUAGUUUGUGAUCAUUGUGGUGAUGAUACACUACAACAAAAAUGGCCUUUCCUGACAUGUCUAUAAGGACACUUGCUGGUUUUUGUCAUUAUAGCACUUCUAUCAUGACAUUUGUUAUCAAUUCACUAAUUUAUACUUUUUUUUAUUUUAUCUGAUAUAAAAAUAAUAAUGUGUCUUUAGAUUUCCUAUCAUGGCAUUUUAGAAAAUGUGAGAUACAACGAAAAAAUUAAAACAUAAAACGAUGUCGUUUGAUUUUGACGGAAGAUUCAUUUGCCAAAACACUUAGUGAAAUCUCAAAACUUUCAUUGUGUCGAUUCUUCUCCUCUCUCUCACAAACCCUCUCUCUCGGCAGACUAUCUCUCAAAACUCCCCCAUUUUGGUUCUUUUGUCUUCCGCCUUCGCCGCCGCCCCACUCCUCCAUUUUCGGUUGCUAACUUGGCCGCUUCUCUGCCCUAUUCGGUCAACCACGACACCUACACCAAUAAGUCUUCGCUCUCUUUGCUAGGACAAAAGGAAUAAAAAAACAGAUACUCAUGUUCUUUCCUUUUUCUUCUUUCCUCUGAAACCGAUCCCCAUGCUUCUCCGUACUGACUAGAUAUUCAGGUUGAGCGUGUUGAGGAGUAGAGUAGGCGAAGGUUGCCGCCAUCGUCUCAUUGAAGUCCAGCCACUACAGCGGAAAUCAUCACUGUAAAGUUUCCCGUACUCUUAUACCUUUUUUCCCCCUUAAUUGUAUUGUUUUCUUCUUUGUCUGCAAUCAUGUCGGUUAUGCUUUACUUUCGUCUUGUUAAUCGAUUUUAAGUGGCUGGAAUUGAUCAUAGGUUUGAGUAGAGUUUUAGAUUUAAAAUUCAAGCUCAGGCCGUAUAAGGAACUGAUGAAAAAGAAAUUUCAAAACUUUUCAUCCUCACUACUUGUUUGUCGGAAGGUUCGAAUGAAGAAAGAAGGAAAUUUGCAAUGGAAGUGAACAGAGAGAGAUGAAAGUGAUUGGAGAGUGAAAUUUUGCCUUGGUGAACUUUUCUUUUGUUUUUGAUCAUCAAGUGCAAUAGAAAAGUACAUUUAGUACAAUUUCCUAACUAUCUUAGAGGAAAUCUUGUUUGGAACUUUCGCUGGAUGCUAUGCAACUUAUUUUUGAUGCUUUGGUCAUGAUUGUUGUUCUGUUUGCUACAGCCCCAUAAGAAGGUUUUUUUUUAAUUAUUAUUAAAAAUUACCGCAUAGCUUGGAUACUUUUGCAUUCCAUGCACCAUGUCAGCUAUUCAUAGCACAUAGCACUAAAGUAGAGCACUCUGUAAUUUUGGAGAUGUUUCAUCUACGCAUUCAAUUAUUUCGAGUUUUUAGUCCAAUGGGUAAUAAAUUGGUUGUACAUCACUUAUUAUGUUGCAUCCCAGUUAUAUUGACCUAGAACAAUUACCAUAUAGACAAAAAGAAGAUAUUAACUGCAGCAAAUUGAAGAAUAAAAAGAGUAUUUGUCAAAUCUUUUCUCCCAACAUCCCUCGUAAUUCUUUCCCCCAACCUCAACUUAGGCACACAUUGUGUCUCUCCUUUUCUUCUUCAAACUAAAUGUUCUUCUCAUGGACAAAUAAGAAUAAUUUGAAUUUAUGAGGAUACAGAGGAAGAGAAUGAAGAUGGAGAAGUUAAUUGUUAUAACUCCAGUUAUGAUAAAGUUGAAGAUGACUUUACAUAAGAUGGAUUAAGUGACUAGUGCUCUAUUGUAAGAUGCUGGGUGCAUAUCUUAAUUUCUUUGAAUUGACUUUAUAUCUCAAAAAAAAAAAAAAUUGAAGGGAUUCUAUAUUUAUUUGACUUGUGUGGUAUUUAUUUGUGUGACUGUCUUGUUUUUUGUCUGCUUUUAUGAUCUAGAGCAUUGAUUACUCUAUAUUUUUAGACAAGAAUAUAUUGUUUUUGUUGUAGAAUUUCUGUAGAAAAAAUACAGAUCUUGCACAUUAAACCCAAUGGGGACUGUUUGCACUAUAAUGCAUUAUGGGCAACUAACAAAUUGGGAUUUGCUAGCCAUUCAAUAUUUUGUAAAUCCUCUGCAGUGUAACAUACUGGAAAUUGCCUUUCAGUUACAGUCUCCAGCGAAGUGUCCUGAUUUAGUCUUUCAAGUUGGAAUGUGACUAAUAGUUUCUUAUCUUUUAAAAGUUUGCCAAUUUCAGGAGGAUUGGUUACAUAGUUUUUUAAGAUUUCUUUCCUCCAGUGGGCACUUAAAAAAAUAGUGAUUAUUGAGUGCUUUGAUCUGUUGAAAUUUAAUUGAAAAUUUUCCGAUCAUUAAUUGACACACUUCAAAAUACUAAUGACUACAUAUGUCAAAGCACAACCUAGGAAAUUAUAUCAGCACGUGCUCCGAUUGUAUGGUACUAAACUUGCAGUGCUUCCACAAAGAAUGUGAAGAGCACAUAUAUACUGAUCAUUGAAAAGAUAGAUUUCUAUUAUGAUUCUGCUAAUGUUUGAAGCACUAAAUGUGAAAUUGCUAUCUAUUUUGAAUGAGUAUCUGUUUCUAUGAAAACUUUGGACAAAUAUGCAUAUGACAAUAGUUUCUAAUGAAGUUACAAACGAUGCUGAACCUUUGGCAUUAUACCAAGAAGGUGUUAAUCAAGUUAACUGGUUACACUUCUAAGCCCUUGCCUGUGGGCAGAAUCUGAGCUAGCUUUAUUCAUUUGUAGCAAGAAGUAAUUUUGCAUGCCAAUGCCAUGCAUUGUUGACUAACCUGUCGCAUUCAGUGUUUGGACAGGUGGGAGUAUAUUGGCGGCACUUGGUUCCUUUCAGCAAAUUUGGUUUUCAAAAUCUGAGUAAGCUUUUACAUCUACUCUACCUUUCAAUAUUCAACUUUUCUUCUUUUUUUCUCCCCAUUUUCAGUCUGUUUUAUCUCUCGAUUAAUAGGUUUGAGGAACAUGGAACUUCUUAUGUUCAAAGAAAAUGCCCGUAAAGUACUUUACUGGUGCGGACAAUUAUCACAUUAGACAGAAAUUCAUGGAGCUGACUUCACUUUGAUUAGUUCGCUGACGGUAUGGGUUGCUCGGUUUUAAUAUCCUGCUUUAUAGGAGCCCAAGCAAUGUACUAUAUAUAUACUAUACCUCUCGCGGAUCGUUGCUAAUGUUGUACAAUUACGUUACCUGACUUUUAGCAUUUCUUUCAACUGGUUAGGGAUGAGAGUCUUUUUGUUUGUGCACAAGAAAGUCUUUCAAGUUAUUGUAAAUGAGAAUCUUUCGGUAAUUUUUUGGGAUUUUAGUACUUGCUUUGAGCAUUUGUUUGCGAUUUUAGUACUUGCUAUGUUUGUACUUGUUAUUGACUUUUAAUUCAAUGAAUUAUAUUUGAGUAUCGACUUCUUCUUUUAAAUUGCUAUAUGCAUUCUGCCUUUUGGGAUAAUUUUACAAGUCCCUUGGGAUUCUGGUUGAUGGAAUGUACAGCAGGGAGGACUAAUUACAGGUUGCUUCCAUAUGAAAAAAAAACAGGAAAAAACUCCUGGCAAUUAGAAGUGUCAGCAUAGCUUAGCUUCAAAAAACACUAAUGACAAAUGGGCAUGUCAUCCAAAGCAGUGUAAAUUCACAUGGCUACGUGUCCUUAAAGCCAUAUAUUAAGACAAUUCAAGAUGCCUUCAUAAAUUGGAUAUACUACUAAUCCGCUACUGAUGUUCUAAUGCUAUACGGACACUUUCGAUUAUCACAAAAAAAAGUUUUUGUUGGCAGAGGGAAUGCUAUAGCAGCAUGGUUUUCCUGACACAUUUGAAUGUUGCCAAAGAUUUGAGGCUAUCCCCACAUUGGAAGGGACAACACUCGCCCUAGGUGUGAGGAUAGAUAAAAUGUCAGGUUAGAUUAUCUAUACUGACACCUUUAAAUGCCGCUAAAGGCCAUUUUUGUUAUAGUGAUAUUACCGGCUGGUACAUAUAGUUUAAGGCAAAGACAUGAUAUUAACCUAUCUCAUUGAAACAUAAGGAAAAAUCAUGACAAGUGUGAGUCUUGGAUAAUGCACAAUUUGUAAGUGGAAUUUAUACUUAUAAAACUCAAAAAAAAAAUUUCACAAUGCUAUUACUAAUUAAUUAAGGACUUUAUUGCUAUAAUUUAUCGCUUACUAGUUUAAACUGUAAAUGAUCUCAAUAUUUUUCUCCGUGAUGUCGAUUUCUUUAGACUACGAAAGGGAAAAAUUAGUGACGUAUCCCCUACUUAGUUAUAAACUUUUCCAGUGGUUUUAAAUCCCUCGGGCUAAGGACGUACACUUGAUCCAUGAAAAUGACUAGUAGAAGAUUUUUUUUAAGAAUCAAAGAAAUGCAUUAUUUUUUCGGUCUGUUUUCAAGAAUUUGAGCAGUAUACAGAUUAAAGAGUGUUUUUUUUUAAACUUGCUUAUCAACAUAGAAAUGCACAUAGCUGAAAGCCAACUGAAUAUUUGCAGGCAAAGGAGAAGGCAAUCGGUGUUUGAGACCGUCAAGAAGAUGUAGAAGAAUAAGAAUAAAAGCCCAAUGCGAGGAUGAUUCCAAGUUUCUACGUUACUAUUUCUACAUCUAAAUUGACUUUAGCUCCUGAGUUCCAUGUUUAUGGGGUUUGUACCGUUUUACGUACCAUGCAGUACAUGCUUGUAAGGUUUUCUGUCCUGUUGGCAAGCCGCAAGUCCAUAUAAUAAAUGAAUACUAUUUAUAUUACGACACUUUUCUCUCUUUCUCUUAUAUUUUGUCUUUAAUAUUGUUGAUCAUUUUUUUUAUCAAAAGUAUCAAAUGCUUAGGUAAUUUGGUCUAAUGCUAAUUGUUUUACUUUUAUUUUUCACCUACAUCCCUUUUCAACUCAAAGGAUGCUACAGUUUGUGAUCAUUGUUUAAGACCGAAGCAUGGUACUAAUAAAUAUCUCAUUGAAAGUCAAGGAAACUAACAUUAUGAAAAGUGUAAAUCUUGAUUUGAUGAAACUAUUUAUUCGUGGAAUUUAGAGAUACAAAACUCAAAUUGUGACGGUGUUGCUGCUAAAUUAUUAAGGACAUUAUCACCAUUAUUUUUCCCUCACUAGUUUCAUCUGCAAUGAUCUCAAUCUUUUUGUAUUGAUCGGUUGUAAUGAAUCGCGAUUGAUUGGUUGUAAUCCGCUUGUAUUGAUCCCACUAUUGUGGAUACUUCUACGCUCAACAAAAAAUAUAUAUAUUAAAGAAUUAGCAAUAUUUUUUAGAACAAGUUAAAUUUAUUCAUACAAAUUAGACAAAGAAGUAUUUUAAAGACCAUGAUGAAAUUAAUACUUCCAAGGUCUCUAUUAGGAAGACUUCCUUGCCUUGAGUUGCAGUUGCGUGCAGAUGUUUAUAUUUCAAAUUGAUGGUAUAGUAAAAAUGUUGAAUUUCUUUAUCCCCGUGACUUCAAAAAUAUGAACUCAAGAAAUUAACUUCUUAACCAGUAUGUCAUACAAGCUUCACAAGAAAUGUAUAACUUUGCAACUAGAGUCAAUAGAAAUCGUCACAUAAUUAUUAAUUUUACAUCGAAAUUAAGCCUGUAUGACAUACUGGUUCGAGGUUUGGCCACGCUACCUUCCUAUUGUUUAAAAAUUCUCACAUAAUCCCUUGUACUUUGGACUAAACUCGAAUGUGAAAAGAAACCAUCCAAGCUAGUUUGGGAUACACUUGUUGCACUUUGAACUAAACUUGAACGUGAAAGGAAAUCCCAAAACCAUAUUGGGCAUGAAUUCACACUUAAUAGACCCAAAAAAAGAUGGCGACUGGUGAUGGAGGUGAAAGGCAGUGGGGACUGGUGGAGAGAUUUGAGGAAUAGAAGCAGACGAAAAAGCAACAAAUUUUUGCCAAAAAACGGUGACUUUCAUGGUUAAUAUUGCUACUCUCUAAUUGUACUUGACCAAUACAACAGUGAAAUUGUAAUUUAUGCUGAAGAUGGAGUUUGAUACGUGAAGAGAAUUUUUUAUAAAUUUUAUUUUGACCCAUAAUGUUAUCUUUAGAUACAAAAAAUAUUUUAAAAUUUUGAUUUUGGCCCGGUUAACUUUUGGUAAACAAAAAAUGCUCAUGCUUAGUGACAGGUUGUCGAUGCCUGUGCAAAAAUAAAAAUAAAUCUAGUUGCCAAUUAAAAUAAUCAGAGCCCAAUUCUGAGUACUGGAGCAGGGACUCUAGGUGUGCAAUGGGUUACUUGAUUCACUCUAUUUCCGAAGAGUUUGCUUAACCCGAUAUACCAGAAUGGGAUUGCUUAUUCAAAAGGAAUUGUUGAUUUGUAAACAGGGCAAGUAGGGUCGUAUUCUCAGGUGGGCUGGCGGUGCGCGGUCAAUCGACGGAGAAAGAGAGGAAAGGACGCGGGUGGAGGUUUUUGGGUUUUGGCCAAGAGAAGAGGGAACGCAGGGAAAGAGAGAGAGAGGGGCGGUGCUCGGGAAGGUGAGCGGCGGACGACGGCUAGGAGGGAAAAGGAGGAGCGGCGUGCGAAGUUAGAGAGGAGGAGGGAGGCGGCAUACGAAGGAAAAAGAAAUCAAGGAAGAAGAAAGAAAGAAAAGAGGAAGAAAGAAAAGAAGAAGGAAAAAAAAUAGUUUUUGGGUUUUUUUUCAAUUUUUUUUUAUUUUUUUGAAUUUAAAUGUCAAAUUUUGAAUUUUUGAAAAAAAAAACUGAAGGUUAAAAAGGAAAAUAAUUUUAUUUUGCUAAAAAAAAAUUUUUAUUUUUUUAUUUUUUUUUGUUUUGGAUCGUCAAACACAGCGUGGGCACGCCAAAAUUAUAAAACGUCCACUGAUCUUGGGAGUCACUGACACGGCGUGGGCACGCCAAGAUUUCACUUCCUGCCAACGUCGCGAGAUGUUGAAAUUGUACUAACAUGGCGUGGGCACGCCAAGAUUGGUAAACAUCCACUGGCCUUGGGAGUCACUUUUUGAGUGUCCUCCUCGCGUGGGCAUGCCAAGAUUCUAUGUCCUGGUCACAUUGGAGAAAAAUAUGAAAAUUGACUAGUACCCAAAUGAAAAACGACAAAUCGAAAGAAUUGAACAACAAAAAAUAAUAAAGCUAAUAUUUGGGUUGCCUCCCAAAAAGCGCCUUUUUUAACGUUUUUUGUUAGACGUUGAACACCACUCUUCAAUUUGGAUGUAAUUCAAUUUUCCUUGUAAUCGGUGGUCCUACUCCGGGUUCCAAAUAAUCAUUGAGUGCAGCCUUCUUUCUUUAUUUUCUAUUCAUUUUCACCUCAUAAAUUGCUUUCAUUCCCUGAUAUUUGUUCGCAAGAAUUUUGAAUUUACCCCUACAACCAAACUCAAAAAAUUCUUGCACAAAGGAAUUAGUAGCAUGAAUAGCAAACACAGAAUGAGAGUUAACAGUAUGUUUUAUUGUAUUAAAAAUAUUAAAAUGGACUAUUUCUCCAUCGAAUUCCAUUGUGAGAGUACCCUUACUAACAUCAAUCUUAGUUUGGAUAGUACUCAAGAAUGGCCUUCCUAAUCUAAUGGAUGAUGGAUUUGGGACACUUUCAUCAUCCAUAUAAAGCACAUAAAAAUCAGCAGAAAAAAUUAAUCCAUCUACUUGCACUAAAACAUUCUCAACUACCCUAUCUGAAUAAGUAAAUAUACGAUUAGCCAAUUAAAUUAUUAUCCCUAUUUCUUUUAAAGAUCCUAAAUUUAGGGAAUCAUAAAUUGAUUUAGGCAUCACAUUAAUAGAAACUCCUAAAUCUAGCAUGGCAUUUUUUAGAUUAGAAUGUCCAAUCUUACAUGGGAUAGUAAACAUACCUAGAUUCCCGUAUUUAGGUGGUAGUUUCCUUUGUAAAAUUGCUGAAAUGUUCUCAUCUACCACAAUAUGCUUGUCCUCCCUCAAUUUCUUCUUGUUGACACACAAGUUUUUCAAGCAUUUAGCGUAUUUUGGCACUUAUUUGAUCGCGUCCAACAAAGGAAUAUUGAUUGCCACCUUGCGAAAAAUGACGGAAUUUUUAUAUCAAUGCAAGUUUAAAUUCGAUUUUAUACCCGUUGACUGCAAGUAUACAGGCCGAAAUUGUAAUGUAGGGUAUGUAUCGGGUCGAUCCCACGAGGAGCAAAUUAAACAAGUACUAAGCCCUUAUUUUUCUCUAUUAUUUAGACUCACAAUAAAUUUGAACAGAGAAAGUAUAUUGCUAAAAUUUACAAAUUUGAUAUACAAAUAUAAUUUAACAAAUGCUAAAUGCAAAAGAAGAAAUUUCACUCAAGGAAGAAUUUAGGGAUGUAGAUUCCACUUAUGGCAUAAACAACACAAAUGAAUGGAUUUACCUCUUAUUAUUAUUCUUGUUUAACUAGGGAUUCAUUUCCAAAAUUAUCAAGUCUCAUUUUCAUGAUGAAAUGGCCUAGACCAAUAUAGUUUUCCCUAUUUUCAUGGUGAAAUACUACUACUACUCUGUUUUAUUUCAUGAAAUGCUGAAUAAUCCACCUAAGUGUAUCUCUAUUUUCAUGAACAUACAACUUAAGCUCUACUCAUUUAUUUCCAUUGUUACUACCAAUUCUCAUUGAAUAAUAACAACUAUAAACAUACUAUUGGUGAUCAAUCAAUAACAAGUAAUCACAACUACACAAGUAAACAAGUUAAUACAAAAUAUAACAAGUGUAAAUCACAUUCAAGUCAUAUUAUUUAGCCAUAAGUUUCAUCUACUUCCUAGAUAAAGAAAAUUAGCUACUCAUGAAUGAUUUAACAAUCAAACUCACAAGUUUAUUAAUGCAAAAUAUCAUAAAGUACAAGUACAAGAAAGAUAAAAGAAAUCUUAGCCAAUUGAUGGUGAAUCCCUCCAAUUUCUGCUAUGUUCUUGUACAAGAUGAUUACAACUGAAAACUCCAAAUGCUUCUCUAAGGACUCCUAGCUAGAGAGAAAAUGUUACAAGAAGGAAAAACUAGCUACGUAUGGUCCUGUCCUGCUUCUCCCCUGUGUUUUUGCAUAAAAGGUAGUAGAAAGUCUAUUUUCCUCUUCAUAAUUUCCUCCAUUCAGAUUUUGUAAAAAGAAGUCAAAGAUAUGAUGUUUCCUUUUUUCUACAACUCAUUUGGUCUUCUCUUUUGUUGCAGAAGCAUGUGCCACCGAUUUCUAUCCCUCAAAAUAGUUGAAAAAAUUGUGAGAAAGGUAAAGAAAAACAGCUGUGUCACUUGCUGAGCAGAGAGACAAAUCCGAGCCUCGGAUCCGGGGGUGAAACUGGAUCCGAGGACUUCCCAAGGUGGAUCCGAGGUCGGAUCGUUCUGACCUUGGAUACACUCCUCCAAAAGUACAUACGAGGGCUCGGAUCCCUCUUGUUCACACGGAUCCGAGCUCGAAUCCGUGUUGAUUAAAUUUUCAGUUUUUCACUUCUUUCCUUUUUCUACAUUUUUGCUCCCAAUUUCUUUUGUACUUUGUCCUCUGGAUGAUCCUUGCAUUUCUUUCAACUUCGUGCACGAAUUUCAUACAUCAAUAACCUUCACAAUUUCACAAAAUUAACUCAUUAAUCCACUCAUUUAUCAAGUUUUGAACACUUAAACAAUAUUUUAAGUAAUUAUCACUAAAAGAGUUCAAAUAUGGCUUUAAUCUUCUCAAAACAUGCCAAAGAUUCAUGCCAAAUCUGUACAAAAUGUACGUUAAAUAUUCACUUAUCAAAAAACCUCUAAAAUCUCCUUUUCUUUAUCUUGCUUCUUUGAUUUCUCUAACCUGCUCGGAAAAGGCGGUAAGUUAGUUCCAACUCUAAUUAUAGAAUCAGGAAUUAUCUUUGGAUUCGCAUUUCUCAUUCCUUCCUCCUCAAGCUCUUUGUCAAUUCAAUCUUCAUUUUUAUCUUUCGGAAUCACAAGUUCGGAUCUCUGAAUUUUCUUCCCGUUCCUUAAGAUCAUUGCACUUACAUUUUUCAGGUUCAGUUCAGGUUGAGACGGUAAUUUUUCAUAAACUUGGGAUUCCAGGCGGUUGAUUGCUAUUGCCAUCUAACUCAUCUGAUUCUGCAUUACUUGCAUCUGUCCCAAUUGAUUUUUCAUACUUUGUAGGUCAGAAUCCAUUUUUUGUUGAUUAGCAAUUAAUUGCUUCAUCAUCUCUUCUAUAGACAGACUUGAGUUUGAAGGAGGUGGUGGCGGGCGAGACUGAUACUGUUAUUGAUACCCUUGCUGUCUAUUUGGUGUAAAAUCUGGCUGCCUAUUUCCUCCAUAGUUGAGGUUGGAAUGAUCUCUCCAACCAGGAUUGUAUGUAUUCGUGUACGGGUCGUAUGGCUUUCUUAGCACGGGCGCGUAACCAGCCAUGUUCACUUGCUCCGUACUUUUCUCUUGAAUCAUUGAGCACAUCUCUGUAGAAUGACCCAUAGCAGUGCAGAUCCCACACAAUUUGGCUCGUGAUGUAUUUCCUAUAGCUAAUUGCCUAACAAAGGAUGUUAAUUCGGUCAACUGCUAUUGGAUGGAAUAUGUCUCUACCUCAUUUACUUUGCGUGUCGGGACAUCUUCCCUCGUAUCAAACUGUUACGAAUUCUCCGUCAUUCCUUCAAUUAGCUCCUACGCUUCUCAAGAAAUUUUGUUCACCAAUGCCCCUUCACUUGCAGCAUCAAUUAUACUCCUGUCUCUAAAAAACAGCCCCUCGUAAAAAUAUUGGAUGAGCAAUUACUCACUUAUUUGGUGUUGAGGGAACUUGAUGCAUAACUUCUUGAAUCACUCCCAAUAAUCAUAAAGCGACUCUUCUAGAUACUGCUUGAUACCGCAUAUCUCCUUCCUUAGGCUUGCAGCUCGAGACGCAAGAAAAUAUUUGUUCAAAAACUUUUUCUUCAACUGAUCCCACGUGGUGAUGCUACUUGGUGGUAAGUAGUACAGUCAGUCUUUUGCGGAGUCCUUCAAGGAGAAGCAGAAUGCUCUCAUUUUUAUCUGUUCUUCUGUAAUUUCCGGAGGUUUCAUACUGUUGCAAACGACAUCAAACUCUUGCAAAUACUUAUACGGUUCCUCACCUGCUAAAUCAUAAAAAGAUGACAAGAGAUGAAUUAGACCAGAUUUUAACUCAAAUGGAGUGGUUAUCAUUUAAAUAUGGAAAAGUAAUACAUAAGGGCUGCUGUUUUAAAUCAGGAGCAGCAAACUCCCUUAGUAUCCGUGCAUUAGCCAUAGUGACUUCUUCUCGAUCCGAGUCACUAGAAGUAUCACUAUGUGAAUCUGUUAGUUCAACUUCUGGCUUAGGUCUUUGAGAUGAAGCACUGGAGUGCUCUUCUCUAAGUUGUCCGGUCUCUUUCCUUAUUUUAUGCGCAGUCUUCUCUACCUCGGGGUCAAAAAUUAAUUCACCUGUAUGAGAAGAAUGAGGCAUAUACUAGGAAAGCACUAGAAAAUUAGAACAAAAAUGAACCUAAAAAGAAACAAAUAAACCAACACCAGUCCCUGACAACGGCGCUAAAAAUUGACAGGUUAUCGAUGCCUGUGCAAUAAUAAAAAUAAACCUAGUUGCCAAUUAAAAUAAUCAGAGCCCAAUUCUGAGUACUGGAGCAGGGACUAUAGGUGUGUAAUGGGUUACUUGAUUCACCCUAUUCCCGAAGAGUUUGCUUAACCCGAUAUACCAGAAUGAGAUUGCUUAUUCAAAAUGAAUUGUUGAUUUGUAAACAGGGCAAGUAGGGUCGUAUCCUCAGGGAUUGGAAAAAAUUUGUUUCUUUUCAAAUCCACAGUAACAAGGAGGUGUUUUUGUAUAAACGAUAACAAUCUAAGGAGUGCAAAUAGAAAUAAAUAGAUAACUAGAAAUUAAAUGACAAUUCACUAAAAUUAGAAUAAUAAUAAUUAAAGGUCUAGCCAAGAAAUAAUUUCAGCAAUGGUUCACCUAAUUGAUCAUCGACGCAAAGGCAAUUCCAAUUAUUUACUAAUAAAUAGAUUAUAACUGUCAAACAAGUGAUGAUAGUCAACCCCUCCUUACUGUAUCAGUGAUUAAGGUAUGUCCGUUAAUCACUGCUAUAAUUGAGAAAUAAUCUUAGGUACGUCCGUAAGAUUUAAUUCCCCAAUUGCCUUACGUAUUAGAGGAGCCCUAUUCUAACCAAAUAACGCACUAUCAGGAUUAUUUUAAAUUAGCCCAUGUAUUCCCUUGAUACAAACCCAAUCAUGCCAGUUGUCACUAUUUCAAGGCAAUGAAACAAUUACGGAUUUAAUGCCCUAAUUGACUAUAGGUUACUAAAUCAAUUCACUAUCUCGAUCCAAGAUAAUCAAUCAAUUUAACAACUAAUAGCACUGCAAUCGGAGAAUAUGUAAAUACCAAUAAAUAAGAGGAAAAGAUAAAAUUAAAUCGAUCUCACAAUUUUUAGACAAACCAAAGCAUCAGUUAUUUCUUGACUAGAAAAGAAAAUUUAGUUCAUUCCUAAUGCGAAAGACCCACGCGAGAAUUCAAAAAUAAUAUUCACGGACAUCGUCUUGAUCCAGUAGAUUCAAUUGCGUUGGAAUAAGGAUAAAAAACCAAACUACAGAGAGUGAUUCAUUGUUUUGUUUCGUCUGCACUUUUUCUACACAUACGGAAGAAGAAAAACAACUAAAGGAUGAAAAAAGAAAAGUCAAAGAAAGCCACCCAAAGUAGUGCUUGGUCUCUACCAUCCUAUUUCCUAUCUAAUUACUACUUCCCUUCUGCGGCUGCCUAGAGGAAGAAAGAAAAGGAGACUCCAGGUCUUGUUCCAUCUCCUCCCUUUUCGGCAAUUCCCCAAAAGUAGAAAAGUUCCUCCGUUUACCAAAAUGCCCCUGGAAUGAGGACCGCUACUUGAACUCAUUUCCUGAUGACUGUCAAAUUGACACUUGUUAUGGUAUUUGCGUUCCACUCCCUGUAAUAAAUGCAAAUUGUCAAAAGUGAGUAAAAUUUGACAAUUAAUUUAAAUCGGGUCAGGUAAUAGGGGAAAUUAAUUAUAAAAUAAAUGAUAAAAUUGUAACCUAUCACUUAGAAUAACUAGAAAUAAAACAAAACAAGAAAUGAAAGAAAUAAGAGGGGUAGCAUAGACAUUUUGGAUUUUUCUGUUAAUUUGGAUGAUUUCCACCCACGGUCUAAUUUAAUCCAAAACACAAAUGGAUUAUGUGGAGGUUUUUAAACAAUGAGGGAGUAUCAUGAUCGAAUUCUAAAACACAAAGGGGAUUUACUAUAUUUUACUCUUAAAUUUUGGUUUCAUCUCAUAGCAUACAAGAGUACUAUUUCACUGUCUGUCGACAAAGAUUUUCUAUGGUUGAUGUACCAUAGGAAAAAUCUGCCUAUACCAUCAUUUGGAAAAAUUAUCAAUCCAAACAUAGCCACCAUAGCAUUUUUUCAAAAACACAAGAUGGAAAAUUGUCCCCUUAAACGUUGAAAUUCAUGAUCUUUCCUCGACCUAGUCUACUUGUCAAUUCUUGAAAAAAGAAUAGUCACGCCUAAAACACGGCCUCUUCAUCUGCAGAAUUCUAAAAAGUUAGGUAAACUCUAUAAACAAGUUGAUAGGUACAAUCGUACCCAAGAUCAAGUACAGGUAUUUGUACAUUCACUGCUGCAAUAACUAAUCUGAUGACUUACAAACACAUCAUGGUCAAUCGUUGAAUGGUAAUGAGUCUUUUGUUAUGCAUUAGUAUUAGUGUGUACACUCUAAUAGAUUGAUACUUAUACACUUUAAAUUAUCAUAAUAAUACCCUUAAUUAACUUUAACUCUUAAAAAGAAUACGUGUUAAUACACGAGAGUGUGUAAUAGAACGGCAAGCAUUAUGGUGGUCAUUGAGCAACUUAUAGGAGAAAUAGUCCUAUAAGCUGUUCAAUGACCAAUCACAACUUGCUAAUUGGAUGACUAAUAUAGCUCUAGCUGUAAUGUUUUAAUUAAAUUCCAUCACUAACGUUGGGAUGACUUUUUAACCAAAAAAAAAAGCCUUAGUUCAAGCUCUUCCCUUUAUUGUGCAUUUUUUAAAACAUUUGAUAGGCACUGCAAAUCUGUCAUUUUGGACAUUUUAUUAUUAACUAACCAUGAAAGCCGUGGACAUCAACCCAUAUCCAACAGAAUAUUAAAUUAAUAUUAGAAAAAAUUAUUAAGUAAUUGGAAAAAAAAAAGAAGAGACUAAUUUUCAUUGAAACCCACCGACAAACUAUACGUGUCCAUAGCUUUUGAUUAGUGCAUUCAACGUUUAAUUGUAUAGUCCAGUUCAUAGCCGAUUACAUGGAGUAAAGAUUGUGCUCUUUCCUUUUUCACCCCUUUUGGAAUCGAUACUGUGGAGAAUUGGGUUUUUCCCUCCUUUUUUUCUUUUCUUUCCUUCUGUGCUUUGCAAAACAUAGGUAAAAAUAUGAAAUCCGAAGCAUUCUUUAAUUGGGAUUAAGUAUUGUUCUUGAAAUUAAAAAGAAGAAAGAAAGAACAACAAAAAUCCCAAUCUGGGUUGAUUGUUGAGCUCUAGUUUGGCGGCAUCGUGCUUCCAUAGAAGUUCUCUUAGUGUGAUACGCUGCUUUCAAUCAGUUUAACACGGGAAAAAGAAAAGACAUGAAAAGCAAAUUUUGUGGGGAUAAUUUCAGAAAUCUCUCCUGAAGUUUUUUACUAUUUUACUGGCCUCCUUUCAAAUUUUAAAAAUUACACUAGUCUUCCUUGAGAUUAUUUAUCUUGUAACAUUUAGGUCCAAUCAAUAAUUAAAAGAUGAUAUUAUGAGAGAGAAAAAAAUAUGAUUUUAUCAUUGCCCCCAUCUUACUACAUUAUUGAAUUAAUUUAAUAGCAACCCACACAUUAAAGAAAAAUACUAAUAUUUGCUGUUUUUCAUUGAAGAUCAAAUCACAUGUGCCAUAAAAUAUAGUAUAUCAUUUUAUAUAUUUCACUUAAUGUAAGAUCCAAAUUAUUCUUUUCAAUUACAAAUCCAUUGUUAUUAUAAAAAAAAAAAUAAACUUUAACAUCAUAAAUAUUCUUAUCAAAAUAUUAAAGUUAGUUACUAAAAUUUUUAUGGUGUUAAAGUUCACUCUUUGUAAUAUUUAUGGGUUUGUAAUUGAAAAGAAUAAUUUGGAUCUUACAUUAAGUGAAAUAUAUAGAAUGAUAUACUAUUUUUUAUGGCAUAUGUGAUUCAAUCCUUGAUGAUAAAAAGCAAAUUCAAGUGUUUUCUUUAAUGUUUGUGCUGAUAUUAGAUUAAUUAAAUAAUUUAGUAGAUGAAAGAAAAUAGUGAAAUCAUAUUAUUUUUUCUUUCCUAAUAUCACUUUUUAAUUAUUGGUUGAACUUAGAUAUUACAAAAUAAUAAAUCUCAAGGGAGAUUAGUAUAAUUUUCAAAAUUUGGAGAGAAGCUAAUGAAAUAAUCAAAAACCUUAAGGGAGGUUUACAGAAUUAUCCCAAUUAUGUGGGAAUUAGAAUAAUUGUACUGGACGGCACUGCUGCAAUAGAGGGAAAGAGGAGAAGGUGCAGUUAACUUUUGUUGUUUGAAAUCCUUGGCGAAAUAUUACAGAAAGACAGAUAAAACGGUGGUUAGUACAUAAAUGUUUAUGACAGGGAAAAUGGUACGUCUGUUAAUCACAUUUGAAACAUUUUCAUUGGUGAAUGACCAAAAGUAUCAGGCUUGUCCAAUAGUUGAUCAUUGACCAAGAUAAAACCUGCCAUGGUAGAGCCGUAGAGGUACGAUCUUUUCGUACCUCUUAGUGCACAGGACAUUCCUUUGUUUCAUCUAGCUAAUAAUCUACCAACUCAUUUCUUCACAAAUGCACCUUUUAUGGUCACGUCUACGAAAGCCUUUACAGGAUCUUUACCCUAAAAAUCAAUUCACCGACUCCCAUUUGAUGUCAGAAAUUCUUCUACUUUACUCCAAGAUUGACUGUUAAUAAUAAUGAGACAAUGACCACUUUGAAUUAGGGGUGCGCAAAAUUAUCUGCUAAUCCGAAAAUCCGUCAUAUUCGAUCUGAUCCGAUCCAAAAAUUAGGAUAUUUGAUUUUUAUUAUUUGAUCGGAUCAAAAGAGGGUCGGGUAUCCGCUAAGAUACGGGGCGAGUUAGAGUCACAUAAUUAAAAAUUCGCGGGUAUCCGAUCCGCCCCGCAUAUAUAUAUUUUUUAUUUUUAUACACACUAUAAAAUAAUAAGUUAGAACCAAAUAAGUAAUUUUAUUGAACAAAUUGCAUUACAAAUAUGAGAGACUAUAGUUUAUUUACAAGAUUCAUUUGUAAAGGUCAUGAUCUUAUAUUUUAUAGAAAAAAGUUUAAUUAAUGUGGAACAUAUAUAUUAAAAAUUGUGCUACUUAUUUCAAACUUUUAUUGAUUUUGAUUUCUUUUAAUUUUUUUCCUUUAUCUUAUAUUCUCUUCAUAUGCUUGUUUCUUGGUGGGAAACCUUUUUUUAGAAAAAAAAAAUUAUUAAAUCUUAGAUGAAUGUGUAAAAUAUAAAAUUAAAUUAGUAUAAAUCAUUUUUUUAAAAAAAUUAAAUGAUAAACGGGACGGAACGGGUACCCGCUGAUCCGACCCUAUCUUAUCGGGUACCCGCUGAUAUGCGGGGCAGGUAAAAAUCAGAAAAUGACUGACCUGUAAGGUGCAGGUCGAAUCAAUCAAAUGGUGAAUGGGACGGGUAUACGACCCGCGCCAACACCUACUUUGAAUUAUCACACCAUCCUUCUUGAUAGGAUUGGUACUAGAGGUAGGGAGGGGAGUCGGCUGCAUCCGGUCUUCUUUUCAUAGAUGUCAUUCACGCAAUAUUAUAUUUCGAAGUCAUUGCAUGGCUAAGCUGCAAAAAAGUACGAACACUUGUUAUUAUAUAGCUUAAGAUUCAAAACGUUAGAGCAUAACCCUCCACCUAACACAAUUGAAUAAUGAAUAUUCACGAUUGUCAAAUCUGUCAAAGCACAGUUUGAGGACAACCCAUUCCAACCUGCAAAAGAUUUUUUACUUUUCUAAAGUUGUUGAGAGCUGUAAAAAGACUUACCAUGCUUACAUCUUCCGAGCCUUGGGAGUUAAAAAUGAAGGCACUGAGUGCUAUAAAAAGGGGGCUAGAGGCUGCCUAGAAGCAUAUCAGCCUAAAACAAGAAUUUGUAGUUAUGAUGGGAAGCAAAGCAAAAGCAAUGGGGUCUGGGCUGACUCCUCUUCUUACCACUCUUUUAGUGGUAUUUGUUGCUCUUGGCUUGCCCUCAGAAACUGCAGCUGAUGAUCACUACAAGUAUUCAUCUCCUCCUCCUCCUUACCACUAUCCCUCACCACCACCUCCAGAGCAUUUACCUCCACCAGUGUACAAAUACAAGUCCCCACCACCACCUCAUCAUGUUUACAAGUACAAAUCUCCACCACCCCCACCACCACACCCAGUUUACAAGUAUAAGUCGCCACCACCACCUCCUCAUCCGGUACCACACCCAGUUUACAAGUAUAAGUCACCACCACCACCUCCUCAUCCGGUACCACACCCAGUUUACAAGUAUAAGUCACCACCACCACCUCCUCAUCCGGUAUACAAGUAUAAGUCUCCUCCGCCACACCACACCCAGUUUACAAGUAUAAGUCACCACCACCACCUCCUCAUCCGGUACCACACCCAGUUUACAAGUAUAAGUCACCACCACCACCUCCUCAUCCGGUAUACAAGUAUAAGUCUCCUCCGCCACCACCACACCCAGUUUACAAGUAUAAGUCACCACCACCAC